CUCUCAAAGAUUGAAGCCAUGCAUGUCUAAGUAUAAGCAAUUAUACCGUGAAACUGCGAAUGGCUCAUUAAAUCAGUUAUCGUUUAUUUGAUAGUACCUUACUACUUGGAUAACCCGUGGUAAUUCUAGAGCUAAUACAUGCUAAAAACCCCGACUUCGGGAGGGGUGUAUUUAUUAGAUAAAAAACCAAUGCCCUUCGGGGCUCUUUGGUGAUUCAUGAUAACUUAACGGAUCGCAUGGCCUUGCGCCGGCGACGGUUCAUUCAAAUUUCUGCCCUAUCAACUUUCGAUGGUAAGGUAUUGGCUUACCAUGGUUUCAACGGGUAACGGGGAAUUAGGGUUCGAUUCCGGAGAGGGAGCCUGAGAAACGGCUACCACAUCCAAGGAAGGCAGCAGGCGCGCAAAUUACCCAAUCCCGACUCGGGGAGGUAGUGACAAUAAAUACUGAUACAGGGCUCUUUUGGGUCUUGUAAUCGGAAUGAGUACAAUUUAAACCCCUUAACGAGGAACAAUUGGAGGGCAAGUCUGGUGCCAGCAGCCGCGGUAAUUCCAGCUCCAAUAGCGUAUAUUAAAGUUGUUGCAGUUAAAAAGCUCGUAGUUGAACCUUGGGCCUGGCUGGCCGGUCCGCCUCACCGCGUGUACUGGUCCGGCCGGGCCUUUCCUUCUGGAGAGCCGCAUGCCCUUCACUGGGUGUGUUGGGGAACCAGGACUUUUACUUUGAAAAAAUUAGAGUGUUCAAAGCAGGCCUUUGCUCGAAUACGUUAGCAUGGAAUAAUAGAAUAGGACGUGCGGUCCUAUUUUGUUGGUUUCUAGGACCGCCGUAAUGAUUAAUAGGGAUAGUCGGGGGCAUCAGUAUUCAAUUGUCAGAGGUGAAAUUCUUGGAUUUAUUGAAGACUAACUACUGCGAAAGCAUUUGCCAAGGAUGUUUUCAUUAAUCAGUGAACGAAAGUUAGGGGAUCGAAGACGAUCAGAUACCGUCGUAGUCUUAACCGUAAACUAUGCCGACUAGGGAUCGGGCGAUGUUUCUAUCUUGACUCGCUCGGCACCUUACGAGAAAUCAAAGUUUUUGGGUUCUGGGGGGGAGUAUGGUCGCAAGGCUGAAACUAGAG
rnacentral:rRNA from 1 species